UACAGAGGGUGCGAGCGUUAAUCGGAAUUACUGGGCGUAAAGCGUGCGUAGACGGUAGCGUAAGUCAGAUGUGAAAGCCCCGGGCUCAACCUGGGAACUGCAUUUGAGACUGCUCUGCUCGAGUGCGGAAGAGGGAAGCGGAAUUUCCGGUGUAGCGGUGAAAUGCGUAGAUAUCGGAAGGAACACCAGUGGCGAAGGCGGCUUGCCAGAACGCGCUCGACGGCGAGGGAUGAAAGCUGGGGGAGCAAACCGG
rnacentral:rRNA from 1 species